rnacentral:rRNA from 1 species
UACGAAGGAGGCUAGCGUUGCUCGGAAUCACUGGGCGUAAAGCGCACGUAGGCGGGUUCUUAAGUCAGGGGUGAAAUCCUGGAGCUCAACUCCAGAACUGCCUUUGAUACUGGGAAUCUCGAGUCCGGGAGAGGUGAGUGGAACUGCGAGUGUAGAGGUGAAAUUCGUAGAUAUUCGCAAGAACACCAGUGGCGAAGGCGGCUCACUGGCCCGGUACUGACGCUGAGGUGCGAAAGCGUGGGGAGCAAACAGG